CGCGUAGGCGGUAAUGUAAGUCAGAUGUGAAAUACUCAGGCUUAACCAGAGAACAGCAUCUGAAACUGCAUAACUAGAGUACAGAAGAGGGAAACGGAAUUCCCGGUGUAGAGGUGAAAUUCGUAGAUAUCGGGAGGAACACCAGUGGCGAAGGCGGUUUCCCGGUCUGAUACUGACGCUGAGGCGCGAAAGCGUGGGGAGCAAACA
rnacentral:rRNA from 1 species